rfam:Picea glauca, whole genome shotgun sequence.
GGCUACAACAUAGCAUUAAUUCACCAUAUCCCAUUAGAACUUUGUAGUUAAGCACACUCAAUAUGGAGUAGUACUGGGAUGGGUGACCCACAUGCAUCAUGGGGAUUGUUCUCC